GUGCGAAGACCCAGGCCAGACAGGCCGCUGUCCCAAUGUGGAGCUCUGGCGCUCGGGCUUUGCUUUGCGUGUGGAAGGUGCGAUUUGCUGGGUUCCCGGGUAGGAGCUUGCUGAGCACCAAUGCUGCCUCGGGGAAGAGCAAGGCGCGGCAGUGCUGGAAUUGCGGCAGCGCAGGGAGUGUGGAGAGUGGGGAUGGGUUCUUCUGCGAACACUGCCGCGCGUUGCAGCCUCCUGACCCGACUCGGGACUACUUCAGCCUCAUGAAUUGUCACCGAUCCUUCAAGGUUGACAUCGUGAAACUUAAGCACAGGUACCAUCAACUACAAUGUCUCAUCCAUCCAGAUUUCUUCAGCCAAAAGUCUCAGACUGAAAAACACCUCUCAGAGAAGCAUUCGGCCCUACUGAAUGAUGCCUAUAAGACUCUUCAGGCUCCCCUGAGCAGGGGACUAUACCUUGUAAGCUAAAGCUCCAAGGAAUAGAAAUCCCUGAAGGGACAGACCAUGGAACAGACAGUCAGUUCCUUGUGGAAAUAAUGGAAAUCAAUGAGAAACUCGCACAUGCUCAAAGUGAGGCUGCCAUUGAAGAAAUAAAAUCCACUGUCAGAGCUAAAAAGAAAGAAUUUACUGACAAUGUAAACAGAGCUUUUGAACAAGGUGAUUUUGAAAAAGCCAAGGAAAUUCUAACAAAGAUGAAAUACUUUUCAAACAUCGAAGAAAAGAUCCAGUUGAGCAAGAAUCCCCUCUAGCUGCUAAUUUAAAGUUAUAAAAGAUAAACUUUCUGUAUUUCUUUUCUGGCUUCUGCUAAUUGGAAAUAGGCAUGGGGUCUGUGGCAUAGCUCAGGGUAGAUCACUUGUCUAGCAUAUGGAAAGCCCUGGAUUUUGUCCCCAUUGCUACAGAAAGUGAGAGGAAAGAGGCAAUGUGAAUAGAUAGAGUUUAGCCAUUUUUUAUCAUUUCAAUUUAGUGUAUGGCUCAGAUACUAAUGGCUGGCAAAGUGCAUAGUACCUGUCAGAGCAUGGGUGCUCAAUUACUCAUCAGGUGUGUGAUACAGCGUGCACCCAACCUAGGCCAGUGGUGAAGCUGAUAGCUCUCUACGGUCUAUCCUCUGACCCAGAGAAACGCCAUCUUCAAGGGUUCAACUGUGCCUGCUUGGAGAAGGUCACCACAGCUCAGGUUGUUAGCUGUUGACAUCCCCUAGUAUCCAGCUAUUCCUCCCAGCCAGUUGCAUGCAGGAAGGGAGCAAUGAGGGAGUCAUCAUCCAUGUUAGGUGCUGACCUUCCUAUGCCCUGCUCCAGGCUCUCCCAUGAUCUGUAACUUUGGCUUAAUGGACUCUAGGGUUCUGUUGUAACUGCUGAGCUCUGCCAUCAUAGCACAAGCCGCCAGGUGGUCAAGGAGGAGCUCAAACUAUUACAGAGAGAGUAUUUGUGAAACAGAGAGUAGGCAAAGGUUACCAGUGGGUUUCCUACCCUCUGCUUGAUAGCUACAACUUCACUCUGCAGAACCAAGUCAUUUAUUGGGGUUUCCUAGGGUUAUGGGCAUUUCUCCAACAACCGGGAAGCCUUACCCAACCGGGUUAAGGGCUUCUACCUUUAGCUACAUAGGUUGAGCCUCUGCUCUAGUCUUCUGGCAUGCAUAUAGACCAUACAUACAUACAUACACACACACAGACACUCUAGCCCCCCCCACCCGGCCACCUGCAGCAUUGUUGGGUUCACCUGAGCAGAAACAAGAGUCUUGUAUGCAUGAGUACUUGUGUGUGUGUGUGUGUGUGUGUGUGUGUGUGUGUGUGUGUGUGUAACAUCAGUCAGCCCAAUUGGACUGAUUGUUUGCAAGGGGUCACUACUGAACUCCCAAGAUGGUGAUUAGCUUGGACAGUCACUCUGGCUCCCCAUGUGCAUUUACAGUCAUACACUUGGAUACUCAUCCAUGUACCACACACAUAUACCAUACAGACAUACACAUACAAAUCAUCCAUGUACCACAC